GGGGAAUGGCGGUGCCAAAAACGUCCAGGUCAUCACCACACCGACAAGAUUAGAAUUUACCUGAAUUUCGGCGGGCUCAAACAUAACGUUAAUAUCCCGGCGAGGAGACCCGCAAUGUAAAGGGAAUGGAGGUGCUGAACCUCCACACCCCAGGGCAUCACUACACCGAGAAGAAUUUGAGGACUCAAACCCAACGUUGAUUUUACGACGAGUAGACCCGCAGUAUAAAGGACUACACGUGAAGACAUCCUAACUAGAAAAGACCAUCCUCCCACGCCAGGGGUGCUUCCUUACCAUUUGCCGCGGGAUAGCUCUGCCGUGGGAGAAUGGAAAAGACACGCAAAGAGAAGGACGGUCUGUGCCAGAAAUAUGACAAGGAUGCAAGAAGCAGGGAAGGAGACAUGUGUCAGCUGCAGCAUCUUCCAGGACCUUCAACUACACUCAUGGGAAAAGGCUUUGAGGGAUGAAAAAAAGGUUAAUGAUUUGUGAUGUGCAUUAAGUAGCUUUUGGUACCAAACUUAGAAUUCCCUCUGUGUAUCUGAGACAUUUUCGACAGGGAUAAUCAAGUUUCUUGGUUGUUGGCAAGGUGUUUGAGUUUGCUUUGGUGACAUCCUGAGUGACAUUGCUGGUUGGGGGUUGGGGCAUUUUGAGGGUUUUGGCUCCUUUUGCACGCAUGGCUUUAGUCUGUUUCUGUGGGAUACAGGUCCGAUGUAUGGUUGAUUUGGUUUCUGUGACCAUGUUGGUGGCUGGGAUUGUGUUUGGAGUUGCUGCAAAGUGCAGUCCUCUAGAAAACGGAGACUUCCCUAAGUUCUGUUAGCCCAUGAUUAUUUAGGUAUCUUGUACUGCCUGACUUUCUUUCUGCAUUAUGUGAUUGUCAGUGGGUCGGGAACCCUGACCAUUACAUGAGCUGCCUUGUGAAUGAAAUAAUGGGGCGGUG